GAGAACUAACACUGUUUUCUAAUGCAGAGAACCUUGUAAUCUCCAGGGAGAUUGGCCCAGAAAAAUGCCUGUCAGGGGCUGCAGUGUGGGUGAGCUGGCUGUCAGUCGGUAGCUCUCGGCACGGCACUGGUAAUUAGUAGAGGAGGAAAUCUGCUCUCCUGGUCCCAGAACCCCUUAAACACCAUAAGCACAAAAGGAGGAGGAAAGCAGGCAUCCUGCAGUAAGGGUCCCAGCUGAGCAAGGGCCUGCCACCCACCAUCCCUCAACACGGCAGGAACAGCCCGUGGGGUGGAGGCAGCGGAGACAAUGGCUUUCCGAGCUCCGGUUGGCACAUUGGACGAUCUUGUUAGAAUGGAGGGCACAAUUAAACAUUACCAGAGCCAGCUCCCGACUGAGUUGCAAAGAAAGAUGUAAACACACACACACACAGACCCACUACACUCACACGCUCCUCGAGCUGAAAAGAAAAUUAAUCAAAAACCCAAUGAACGCCUGAACUCUAUAAUUAAGCCUAAAUGAUCCUCAGAUAGAAAGGGAGCUGAGUGAGCAAGCUCGGUGCACAAAGAUAUUUUUACCCCGGAGUCUUAUUGCCAUUAAUUUCUUUUGAGAUCUUGAGUACAUCUGGUUCCAGUUUCCCUGGUAGGACAUCUGCCUAUGGAAGACCUUCAGGAGAGUUGCCAGCUCAGUGGCAAGGUUAUUGGGCUGUUCCUCCAACACUUUUAUGGGAACGCAUCUGGGGAGGUUACCUAGUAGGACAAGGCACGUCCAUCAAGCAGAACCACUUGGCAGAGACUAAAGAGGAGGAUGGGGCCAUGGCUGGUGGCUCUAAAAGCUGAAGACCUGGACAGCUGAUUUCCCAUUAAAACGAAUGCCAUCC